rnacentral:rRNA from 1 species
GGAAUAUUGGGCAAUGGGCGCAAGCCUGACCCAGCAACGCCGCGUGAAGGAUGAAGGCUUUCGGGUUGUAAACUUCUUUUAUUCGGGACGAAGAAAAUGACGGUACCGAAUGAAUAAGCCACGGCUAACUACGUGCCAGCAGCCGCGGUAAUACGUAGGUGGCAAGCGUUAUCCGGAUUUACUGGGUGUAAAGGGCGUGUAGGCGGGACUGCAAGUCAGAUGUGAAAACUAUGGGCUCAACCCAUAGCCUGCAUUUGAAACUGUAGUUCUUGAGUGCUGGAGAGGCAAUCGGAAUUCCGUGUGUAGCGGUGAAAUGCAUAGAUAUACGGAGGAACACCAGUGGCGAAGGCGGAUUGCUGGACAGUAACUGACGCUGAGGCGCGAAAGCGUGGGGAGCAAACA